GACGAACGCUGGCGGCGUGCCUAACACAUGCAAGUCGAGCGAUGAAACCCUUCGGGGUGGAUUAGCGGCGGACGGGUGAGUAACACGUGGGUAACCUGCCUCAAAGAGGGGGAUAGCCUCCCGAAAGGGAGAUUAAUACCGCAUAACAUUAUUUCUUCGCAUGAAGAGAUAAUCAAAGGAGUAAUCCGCUUUGAGAUGGACCCGCGGCGCAUUAGCUAGUUGGUGAGGUAAUGGCUCACCAAGGCGACGAUGCGUAGCCGACCUGAGAGGGUGAUCGGCCACAUUGGAACUGAGAUACGGUCCAGACUCCUACGGGAGGCAGCAGUGGGGAAUAUUGCGCAAUGGGGGAAACCCUGACGCAGCAACGCCGCGUGGGUGAAGAAGGCCUUCGGGUUGUAAAGCUCUGUCUUCUGGGACGAUAAUGACGGUACCAGAGGAGGAAGCCACGGCUAACUACGUGCCAGCCGCCGCGGUAA
rnacentral:rRNA from 1 species